ACUACAUUGUUCUCCUCCUAUAAAGAGGUGCAGUGGUGACCAUGGACUCUGUGGAGAGACUGAUUAAGAAAGACAUGACUGAUCCGGUGUCUGGAGACAAGCUUAAAGACAGAGAUAUUAUUCCAAUACAAAGGGGUGGCACAGGAUUUGCUAGCAGUGGAGUCAAGUUGGAGGCUAAACAAGAUGGCCCAGUCAUGCAGGCAUAGUUGUAUCAACAUGUAGGACUCUCUUCUCAUCUCAAAGUCUGGAUAAUGUCACAAACUUUAUGGGUAUUGUGAAUUAAUUGGAAGAUGGCAGUACCUUUUUUUUAGCUUUUAUUCUGUCCUUGGUAUAUCCCACAUUGUGUGAAACAUAGCAAAGGGGGCAGGGGCACUGUCAGCACCAGGGACAUGUGAAACAGCAUAAGGGCACAACGUAACACACUCAGUACCAGGGACAGGGAAACUGGGGUAGCACCAAGGACUGGGAAGUACAGUCAGCACCAGGAAUAUGUAAAACACCACAAUGGACAGGGUAACACACUCAGUACCAAGGACAGGGAAACUAAACUGGUGUAACACCAAGGACAUGGAAACACAGUCAGGGACAGGGAAACACAAUCAGCACCAGGGACAGGGAAACAAAAUCAGCACAAGGGACAGGGAAACACAAUCAUCACCAGGGACAGGGAAACAAUCAGCACAAGGGACAGGGAAACACAGCUAUCUCCAUGGAUAGGGAAAUGACUAGCACUAGGGACAGGGAUACACACUCAGCACCAGGGACAAGGGAACACAAUCAGCACAAUGUGA